GUGAAGGAUUAGCGGCGAACGGCUGAGGAACACGUGAAGAAUCUGCCUUCAACUCUGGGAUAACUCCGGGAAACCGGGGCUAAUACCGGAUAUGAGCCUUGAUCGCAUGAUCGGGGCUGGAAAGUUUUUCGGUUGAAGAUGACUUCGCGGCCUAUCAGCUUGUUGGUGAGGUAAUGGCUCACCAAGGCGACGACGGGUAGCCGGCCUGAGAGGGCGACCGGCCACACUGGGACUGAGACACGGCCCAGACUCCUACGGGAGGCAGCAGUGGGGAAUAUUGGGCAAUGGACGAAAGUCUGACCCAGCGACGCCGCGUGCGGGAUGAAGGCCUUCGGGUUGUAAACCGCUUUCAGCAGGGAAUAAGCGCAAGUGAAGGUACCUGCAGAAGAAGCACCGGCUAACUAUGUGCCAGCAGCCGCGGUAAUACAUAGGGUGCAAGCGUUGUCCGGAAUUAUUGGGCGUAAAGAGCUCGUAGGUGGUUUGUUACGUCGGUUGUGAAAUUCAGGGGCUCAACCCCUGACUUGCAGCCGAUACGGGCAAGCUAGAGUUUGGUAGGGGAGACUGGAAUUCCUGGUGUAGCGGUGGAAUGCGCAGAUAUCAGGAGGAACACCGAUGGCGAAGGCAGGUCUCUGGGCCAAUACUGACACUGAGGAGCGAAAGCGUGGGGAGCGAACAGGAUUAGAUACCCUGGUAGUCCACGCCGUAAACGGUGGGCGCUAGUUGUGCGAACCUUCCACGGUUUGUGCGACGCAGCUAACGCAUUAAGCGCCCCGCCUGGGGAGUACGAUCGCAAGAUUAAAACUCAAAGGAAUUGACGGGGCCCCGCACAAGCAGCGGAGCAUGCGGCUUAAUUCGACGCAACGCGAAGAACCUUACCAAGGCUUGACAUAUACAGGAAUAUGGCAGAGAUGUCAUAGCCGCAAGGUCUGUAUA
rnacentral:rRNA from 1 species